AGUCAUUGGGCAUUCCAAACCCCACAGGCGAAAUGAAAGUGAAGGGGGGAGCUGGUAUCCCCCUUCGGGCUGAUGGUGGCGGCUUAAGUCCGCGACCCGCAAGCCCGGGGCGCCGCGUUCUUGCCUCCGCGCAGAUGCGGCGCACCUAGAGCGCACACGUUGGGACCCGAAAGAUGGUGAACUAUGCCUGGCCAGGACGAAGUCAGGGGAAACCCUGAUGGAGGUCCGUAGCGAUUCUGACGUGCAAAUCGAUCGUCGGAGCUGGGUAUAGGGGCGAAAGACUAAUCGAACCAUCUAGUAGCUGGUUCCCUCCGAAGUUUCCCUCAGGAUAGCUGGCACUCGGAGUACUAUGAGUCUCAUCCGGUAAAGCGAAUGAUUAGAGGCCUUAGGGCCGAAACGACCUUAACCUAUUCUCAAACUUUAAAUGGGUGAGAAGGUCGGCGCACUUAAUUGGCGCCGGUCCUUCUGUGGAUUCAGAGUUGCCAAGUGGGCCACUUUUGGUAAGCAGAA
rnacentral:rRNA from 1 species